GCCACCGUAGCUCAGUGGUAGAGCAGUGCUUUUGUAAAGCACGGGUCGUGGGUUCAAGUCCCUCCGGUGGCU
rnacentral:tRNA from 1 species